GAGCUUUUGGCUCUUCACAAGAGAGCACCAGGUCGUAACACCGGAAGACUGCGCCGUUAUUAGUUAUUAUUAAAAUGAUAUAAUUUCUUUGUAUGCUUAGUCACCAGUGGCACAACCUACGGGCUAAGUAGCGCCUUAAUGGGAGUAUUUUUUUCCUCCGCGAUAGUGUAAUACCAAGACCAGUAAGAGAGAAUGGACUUUAUCCAUUCGGACAAAACCCAUGCUUUGUAUGCUUAGUCACCAGUGGCAAAACCUACGGGUUAAGUAGCGCCUUAAUGGGAGUAUUUUUUUUCCUCCGCCCACCAGUGAAUGAUUCACUUUCAAGUUCUCGCCUCCGGCCCGGGAGAACACAGGGUCAAGCCAAGCCCUGACCCGCCUAACUGGAAUUCAUAUCUCCUUCGUCUGUACGCAAUUCAAGAUUUCGUUUGUCUUCAUGUUGGCGAUUUCUGAUGUGAAUUCGGCGGGUCAUCCCCCCUUCCUAUAGGUUCCCCCUUGCUGCGGGAGAGUCUUUCUCCAAUGAGAAAAAAGAAAUUUUUUGGGUAAGAC
rnacentral:lncRNA from 1 species